GACGAACGCUGGCGGCGUGCUUAACACAUGCAAGUCGAACGGAAAGGCCCUGCUUUUGUGGGGUGCUCGAGUGGCGAACGGGUGAGUAACACGUGAGUAACCUGCCCUUGACUUUGGGAUAACUUCAGGAAACUGGUGCUAAUACCGGAUAGGAGCUCCUGCUGCAUGGUGGGGGUUGGAAAGUUUCGGCGGUUGGGGAUGGACUCGCGGCUUAUCAGCUUGUUGGUGGGGUAGUGGCUUACCAAGGCUUUGACGGGUAGCCGGCCUGAGAGGGUGACCGGACACAUUGGGACUGAGAUACGGCCCAGACUCCUACGGGAGGCAGCAGUGGGGAAUAUUGCACAAUGGGCGGAAGCCUGAUGCAGCAACGCCGCGUGCGGGAUGACGGCCUUCGGGUUGUAAACCGCUUUCGCCUGUGACGAAGCGUGAGUGACGGUAAUGGGUAAAGAAGCACCGGCUAACUACGUG
rnacentral:rRNA from 1 species